GACUUGGUGGUGAAAUGUAUCACAUCCACAUUGCUUGGGUAUUGUCGAAAUAGUGUAUAUGUGGGGGUUCCUGGUUCGAGUCCGGGCCAGGUCA